AGCCGCGAUCGAACGGCCGCGGCCGAAGGAAACGAGACCCGUGACUCCCUCCACGCGUCACGUAGCACAGCGCGCCGUGUGCCGGUCGUGCCGCGUGCGUCGACGGGCGCAGCGCGGCGCGUGCCGGUCGUCCCGCGUGCAUCGAUGGCCGCGUCGUAGGUACCUCUGGACAGUUUUGCGUCGCCGUGCUUGGAUGUGCUCCCCGCUCCCCGCAGCGACGGCCGAGAGGCUCGAGCGCGCGGAUAAGGAUGGCCUCCCCAGCCUGCGGUCCCUUCCGCGAUAAGGAUGACUGCACGCGGCGCGGCCACGACGAGGACCUACUCCCACAGCGCCCCACCGCCGUGCACCGAGUGACGCCGCCCGCCAUGACCGCUGCCGAGCUAGCUCCCGCGACGGUGGCCGGCUGCAUCGCGGAUCCGACCCCCGGUGACCCCGUGGUGGACUGCACCGGCCAGGGCCUCUGGUUCGUGGAGGCCACCGCGAGCUGCGCACUCGCCGACGUGAACUACCUCGAGCGCCCGCUACUCAUCCCCAAGGAGGAGCUGCUUCUACUCAUCCCCAAGGAGGAGAUGCUUCCCCGCCCUCUCGGAUCGUCGUCGUCACCUAGGUCAGUCCCGACCUCCUUUUCCCGAUUUCCACCCCGGCCGCCGCCCCCGCCGCCACCUCUCCUUCGGGGGCCUGAUUCCCACCGCCAUUCCGCUUCCUCCCACCGCGCCUCUGUGUAUGAGGCCAGGUCGAUGGUGGGGAGGGCGCGGCGACGUCGCUGCUACUCUCUCGGCGGCGGCCGCCUCGACCUCACAAGAUCCCGAGCGCCGCAGACACCUCGACCAUCCCGGCAGCAGAUUCAGACAUCCGUGACCUCGCCGGAGCCGGGUCCAGCAGCCUAGAUUUGUAAGGCAACUCGACCAUGGCUCUCCCAUGCCACCGGAUUCGUCGCCCAAAGGAGGUCAGUCGCCAUGUGCAUCCCGUGUCCUACCGCAGCUCACCGCCACAGUAGCAUCGCCGUGAUCGGCCGCUACGCGCCCCAUCGGUCCACCGAUAAGGACAGGGCCGCGGCGGCAGGAGCGACGGCCUCAUAUACUACAGCCUGCAGCAUCCUUUCCCCACGCCCUUCCAUAUCGGGUCUUGCGGAUGGCUUCUUCAUCGUAUCUUCGAUGACGGUCUACACAGAUCCACCGCAAUACAAGAAAACAGCAAGCUCGCAUGUGCGCAGUAGAGAGAAGCCUCUGCGAGGACAAUGGCACGAAGUGGCCAGCCGGCGCUGGCGUGGGAGGGACCAUGGAGCUUUCGUGCGGAGGCAGCAGCCAUCGGCCGGCUGGCACUUGCGCGGGAGGUGACUGCGAGUGCUCAGGCGAAAGCAGCAGCGUCCAGAAGAAGCUACGCACAUCUCCCUUCUAUCAACUCAUGGGGUCAGCUGUCAUUCUCCUCCCAAAGAGGUUCUCUGGAGUUGGUUUUCGAAACAAAGCUGGUGGAGGUGUUUCUUGCUCGGUUUGGUGUCUGGCAGUUACGCCACGCACGCACACACGCUCAUCCAACAGAGGUGUGUACACACAGCGGGCGCGGCGGGCCGCGCCUACCAUCCUAGUCUA